GUUGUGGGUGGAACGGCAGAGCUGCUGCUGUGAGGAAAGUCUAGUAUGUGUUUUGAUACCACUGCUCACUUUCAAUAAAUGCACAAAUAAGGUUUGGAUUAUUCUGCAAUUUAUUCAGUUCAGUGAAAGCUACUCCCUAACAUUUGCACGGGGCCUACGAGAAGGAGCAGCUCACACUGUUCAACAGUGAUCACUUUGGAAGCUGGUUGAGAGACCACCACCAACCCCAUCUCCUGAGAGGAGGU